rnacentral:lncRNA from 1 species
UGAAAAUAUCUUGAAGGAGGAUAAUAUCUUGAAGGGGGAUAAUAUGUAAGAGGAGAGGAGGAUAAUAUCUAGGAGGACGAUAAUAUAUAGGAGGAGGAUAAUAUCUAGGAGGAGAGGAGGAUAAUAUCUAUUAGGAGGAUAAUAUCUAGGAGGAGGAUAAUAUCUAGGAGGAGGAUCAUUUCUAGGAGGAGGAUAAUAUCUAGGUGUGGAGGAGGAUAAUAUCUUGGAGGAGGAUAAUAUAUAGGAGGAAGAUAAUAUCUUGGAGGGGAGGAGGAUAAUAUCUUUGAGGAGGAUAAUAUCUAGGAGGAGAGGAGCAUAAUAUCCAGGAGGAGGAGAGGAUUAUAUCUAGCAAGAUAAUAUCUAGGAGGAGAGGAUAAUAUCUAGGAGGAGAGGAGGAUAAUAUCUUGAAGGAGGAUAAUAUCUUGAAGAGGGAUAAUAUCUAGGAGGAGAGGAGGAUAAUACCUAGGAGGACGAUAAUAUAUAGGAGGAUGAUAAUAUCUAAAAGGAGUGGGUGAUAGUAUCUAGGAGGAGGAGUUGAGGAUAAUAUCUAGGAGGAGAUGAGGUAAUAUGUAGGAGGAGGAUAAUAUCUAGGAGGAGAGGAGGAUAAUAUCUAGGAGGAGGAUAAUAUCUAGGAGGAGAGGAGGAUAAUAUCUAGGAGGAGAAUAAUAUCUAGGAGUAGAGGAAGAUAAUAUCUAGGAGGAGAGGAGGAUAAUAUCUAGGAGGAGAGGAGGAUAAUAUCUAGGAGGAGGAUAAUAUCUAGGAGGAGAGGAAGAUAAUAUCUAGGAGGAGAGGAGGAUAAUAUCUCGGAGAGGAGGAUAAUAUCUAGGAGGAGAGGAGGAAUAAUAUCUAGGAGGAGAGGAGGAUAAUAUCUAGGAGGAUGAUAAUAUCUAGGAGGAGGAUAAUAUCUAGGAGGAGAGGAGGAUAAUAUCUAGGAGGGGGAUAAUAUCCAGGAGGAGGAUAAUAUUUAGGAGGAGAGGAGGAUAAUAUCUAGGAGGAGGAUAAUAUCUAGGAGGAGGAUAAUAUCUAGGAGGAGGAUAUAUCUAGUAGAAGGAUAAUAUUUAGGAGGAGAGGAGGAUAAUAUCGAGGAGGAGGAUAAUAUCUAGGAG